CCUCUCGUUGCUUAGCGGUUGUGGAGUAUUGGUGUGUAAAGUCAAAGAUCCCGGGUUCGAUUCCCGACGAGGAUA
rnacentral:tRNA from 1 species